rnacentral:rRNA from 1 species
GUCCACGCCGUAAACGAUGGAUACUAGCUGUUGGGAGCAAUCUCAGUGGCUAAGCGAAAGUGAUAAGUAUCCCACCUGGGGAGUACGUUCGCAAGAAUGAAACUCAAAGGAAUUGACGGGGCCCGCACAAGCGGUGGAGCAUGUGGUUUAAUUCGAUGAUACGCGAGGAACCUUACCAAGGCUUAAAUGUAGUUUGACAGGUUUGGAAACAGAUCUUUCUUCGGACAAAUUACGAGGUGCUGCAUGGUUGUCGU